rnacentral:rRNA from 1 species
AUGAAUGGAGAGGGGAUUGGUGAUGGAUCCAGGACAAAGAAGCCCUUGAGUUUUGUGAAGCGCGGCAAUGAUUGGAGCGCCAAGGGCCUCUCUGAUGACAGGUUGCGCCCGACAAUUAAUAGGAUCAUCCGCCUGGCGUCUGCCGGGUUAAUCAUCGAGCAUGUGGGGGCAGACUUCCUCCUCCGCCGAAUCUCACCGCUACAGGAUAGGGAUAGGCUUGCGUGGUUGUACGGCUGUGCUGCGGACAUGAUGAGAUUGUUGUCGGGGUUGGCCAAUAAUUUGUCAGUUUAUGGUCACACUUGGUUGUGCGACCAGCUGUUUGGUCGUUUCGAGAUGUUCAAGCUCCCGUCAACCGUCGUCCCCCUGAAUGUCAACUCUACCCAAGAUCAAAUACUAAAGUGGAUGCCAAAUUGCAACGCCGAGGGAGUGUCGGGCACUUGGCAGCUCCCUUCUCUUGAUGAAGAGCUCCAGUGGUUGAGUACUUUGGUGGAGAAGGCCACCAGAACAGCAGAUGGAAUGUAUAAGCGCACCUCCGCUGUGGAGGUAGCGUAUAUUCUGAAAAGAGUCGUGUAG